CCUACGGGUGGCAGCAGUGGGGAAUAUUGGACAAUGGGGGGAACCCUGAUCCAGCCAUGCCGCGUGUGUGAAGAAGGCCCUCGGGUUGUAAAGCACUUUCAGUGAGGAAGAACGCCUGGUGGUUAAUACCCAUCAGGAAAGACAUCACUCACAGAAGAAGCACCGGCUAACUCCGUGCCAGCAGCCGCGGUAAUACGGAGGGUGCGAGCGUUAAUCGGAAUUACUGGGCGUAAAGCGCGCGUAGGUGGCUUGAUAAGCCGGUUGUGAAAGCCCCGGGCUCAACCUGGGAACGGCAUCCGGAACUGUCAAGCUAGAGUGCAGGAGAGGAAGGUAGAAUUCCCGGUGUAGCGGUGAGAUGCGUAGAGAUCGGGAGGAAUACCAGUGGCGAAGGCGGCCUUCUGGACUGACACUGACACUGAGGUGCGAAAGCGUGGGUAGCAAACAGGAUUAGAUACCCGAGUAGUC
rnacentral:rRNA from 1 species